GAGUCUUCUGCCUCAGCCUCAGUAGUAGCUGGGAUUACAGAUAGAGUACCAAAGAUAUAAUUUGAAGAGAGGAAACACAGUAACACUGCAUUUUUAUAUAAAAUAUGAUACCUUUUGAUUGGAAAAAUAACCAGCCAAAAAUAAAAAGAAAACAAUUCAUGUAUCUCAAAAAUAAAAUGGUUCUAGGUUGGAGGCGUUAGCAGCAUUUUGGCUGGGGUAUAUGGGAGGCAAUAUGGAAACCAUCAAACUUGUUCUCACGUCAUUCUGCAAGUCCUGGUGUCCUGAGGUAGGCUGACUUCUUCUUUCCACCAUCCAGAGUCUUUCUGUCUUUGCUUGUUGUGUUUUGUCCAGGAUAUUUUAAUUGUAAGAAGGAGUAGCUGGGAGGAAUGAGCCUAUGCCAUGUUGGCUGGAACUAAAAGUUCGUAGUAAUUUACUUUUCACACAUGGCAAUUUUCAAGAAAAUAAUAAGUGGAAAGAUUCCCAUCUUAUGCACAGGUGAUAUUUCAUAAGGAAGUUAAAAUUUUUCCUGUGAUAUUCUUGACAAAAUAUUCCUCUUGAAAAAAUGUUGACUUUAUUUCAA
rnacentral:lncRNA from 1 species